rnacentral:rRNA from 1 species
AUUGAACGCUGGCGGCAUGCUUUACACAUGCAAGUCGAACGGUAACAGGUUAAGCUGACGAGUGGCGAACGGGUGAGUAAUGCAUCGGAACGUGCCCGGUCGUGGGGGAUAACGCAGCGAAAGUUGCGCUGAUACCGCAUACGAUCUGAGGAUGAAAGCGGGGGACCGUAAGGCCUCGCGCGAUCGGAGCGGCCGAUGUCAGAUUAGGUAGUUGGGGGGGUAAAGGCUCACCAAGCCAACGAUCUGUAGCUGGUCUGAGAGGACGACCAGCCACACUGGGACUGGGACACGGCCCAGACUCCUACGGGAGGCAGCAGUGGGGAAUUUUGGACAAUGGGCGAAAGCCUGAUCCAGCAAUGCUGCGUGCAGGAAGAAGGCCUUCGGGUUGUAAACUGCUUUUGUACGGAGCGAAAAGGUCUCCUCUAAUACAGGGGGCUCAUGACGGUACCGUAAGAAUAAGCACCGGCUAACUACGUGCCAGCCGCCGCAGUAA